rnacentral:sRNA from 1 species
AUGAUUGACAAUAGUGGUCAACAAGAAAUACGAUUCAUUUUAGGAAAAGCUAAAGUAGCCCCAAAACAUGGACACACAAUUCCGCGGCUCGAAUUGUGUGCUGCUGUUCUAGGUGUAGAAAUCUUUGAAACAGUUCAGGAAGAACUUGACACAGACUUUAAAAACGUUACGUUCUUUACAGACAGUAAGGUAACGUUGGGAUAUAUCUACAAUGAAAUCAAGCGAUUCUUUGUGUACGUUAGAAAUGGCGUAGACCGUAUUAGAAAGUCAACAUCUUGCACACAAUGGAAAUAUGUGCCAACUAAUCAAAAUCCAGCUGACGAUGCUACUCGCAAUUCUAUCUCUGCCGUAGAUCUCCCAAAUAGUCUUUGGUUGAAAGGCCCAAAUGCUUCAUUUAUAGAUCACAUCGAUGAGGUUCCGUCAUCAUUUCCACUAGUUACACCGGAUGAAGACUGUGAAGUACGAAUUUUGAAAACAACUGUUGGCAAGGAGGUUCCUUUCGGAAUUCAUAGAUUUGAAAAUUUCUCCACAUGGAUCAGUCUUGUACGAGCCGUCACCACGUUGAAAACUAAGUUAAGAACUAUCUGUUUCAGUCAAGACAAGAAUAGAAGGCAAGUUACUCGUGAGGAGAGUCAACAUUUCAUUCUUCAAGCCGUUCAGAAGGAAUUCUUUUCUGAUGAAAUUUCAGCUUUGUCAUUUGGGGAACCAUUGCAUAAAGACAGUAAAAUCUUGAAUCUCUCGCCUUACUUGGAUGAGUUUGGACUUUUGCGGGUUGGAGGGAGAUUGGGAAAUGCGGACCUUUCGAUAUCUGAAGCGAAUCCUAUUAUUGUUCCCAAAGGUCACAUUGCCGUUUUGCUGGUAGGACAUUUUCAUGAACGAAUCUUUCACCAGGGGCGACAAUUCACUGAAUAUGAGAUUCGAAAGGCGGGUUUCUGGUUGUUGGGAGGAAGACGUGUUGUGACAUCGUAUGUAUUCAAGUGUGUGAGAUGUCGUCAACUCCGUGGCAGACACGAAUUCCCAAAAAUGGCAGAUCUGCCUUUCGAUAGGCUUGACCCUGCGCCUCCGUUUACAUACAUUGGUAUCGAUGUAUUUGGUCCGUGGACAGUUUCUACACGCCGUACUCGAGGGGGACAAGCUAACUCUAAAAGAUGGGCACUCUUGUUAACGUGUCUUGUGCGAGCCGUUCACAUCGAAAUACUGGAAGAGAUGACAUCAUCAUGUUUUAUUAAUGCACUUAGACGGUUUUGUGCAAUCAGAGGAGAAGUUAAGAUUAUACGUUCAGACUGUGGUACGAACUUCAUAGGAUCUGUGAAGGACUUGAAUAUUAACAUUAUAAGUGUUGAGGAUCGACCAAUCAAACAGUACUUAAAUGAAAAAGGAAUAAAUUGUAUUUUUAACACUCCCCAUUCCUCCCACAUGGGAGGAAUCUGGGAACGGAUGAUAGGUGUUGCUAGACGGAUACUCGACGCUAUCCUACUUGAUGUCAAACAAUUGACACACGAUAUGCUUGCUACAUUAUUUGCAGAAGUUUCUUCCAUCAUCAAUGCUCGACCUCUUUUGCCUAUAUCAUAUGAUCCUGAAGUUCCAUUUCCGUUAACUCCUGCAACAAUACUCACCAUGAAAACUGAUCACACUGUUCGAUCUUUUCAUCUAGAAGACUUCAGUUCCAAGGAUCUCUUCAAGAAGCAGUGGAAAGGUAUUCAGCAUCUCGCAAAUCAGUUCUGGCACCGAUGGAAAUCUGAAUUUCUACCAUCUUUACAAUCUCGAAAGAAAUGGCAACAGGACCGUAAAAACGUACAAGAAGGUGAUGUUGUUCUUAUGUGCGAUAAAUCUCUACACAGGAAUGAAUGGCCAGUGGGAAUCAUUAUUAAAACACACACAAGCGAUGACAACCGUGUGCGCAAGGUCGAUGUGCGUUUAGGAAAAGACAGGAAAAAAUUCACAAGGCCCGUGAACGAGUUGAUUGUACUACUACCAAACUAACAAUAUGUAGUUUCAAUGUACUUCUACCAAACUAACAAUAUGUAGUUUCAAUGUGCUGCUACCAAACUAACAAUGUGUAGUUUCGAUGGACAAUUUGACUUGUUGAUAUUUGUUGUUGUGUAUUAUUAUAGAACUAGAUAAAUUUUAGACUCCGUCAUUAUAAUGUGAUAUAGAUAAUAUCAGGCGAGGAGUGUCAUGUCUCAUGUUUCACAUGCAUUUAUUUUCCGGAAAGAAACCGGACUGCAUUUUUUUAUUACAAUUUUCAUAAACUUCCGUCAAGUCAUGAUAAUUUUCUCUUGGACAAUCCUUCUGAUGCCACGAUGUAAGUCACUUAUACUUACCUUUUUUAUGUAUAUAUAUAGUGUAAACACAUUCAUUUUGAUAGACUGCAAUUGUUUUUAUAAGUUUUUGACGAUGCAAACAAUUUUUGAUAACCACAUGCGAAUUUGAAUCACUGUGAGCAAAGUGUGAAUCGAUAAUAUGUUUUUAGUUGGAAUAUGGUCAGAAAUGUCACUGUGUGUAAACUUGACAGUAGAUAAAUUGCUUUUUGCGAAUAAGUUGAUACUUUGAAUAUAUGAAGUUUGUAUACUGAAUUCUUAUUUUGAAAUAUGUUUCCAUUAGAGGUACAUUACAUUUUCUAUUAUUUGAUACUAUUUUUGUUGAUUUGUCUGAAAUGUUACAUCAGCUGUUUUUAUAUCGAUUGUCUUUGUUUUAUUGUAGCUUUUCAGCAUAUAGAUGUGCAACGGAAUAAAUACUAUCUCACAGUAUUGACUUUGAUUUGUUAGUCCCUAACGAUUUAGCACAUAGGUUUAGCUGGACUGUGUCUAGGCAGUCACAAAAGUUUUUAAGGCAUAUAAAUGCAGCUUGUCCUGAAAUCACUUAAAAUUACACAUUUAUAUGGUACAUAAAUAAUCCCAAAACAAAUACAGGCAAUAAUUUCUGUAUUCUGGUAUGUCGGAGAUGAAGACAAAAGCCCCUGGAAAUAAUUCGUGAUUUAAAAUUAUUGCUAUAGAUAUUUAUCAUUAAACUCACUAAUUUGUUGAUGAGACUACAAUUUACUGUUGAUAAUUUCAGGGUUUAAAUUUCCAGUUUGCUGCAGUUUUAUUUUCAUUAGGAUUUUAUACAUAUGUUGAAUCAGGUAUGUUUAUUUUUAUCUCAUGUCUGUUAGAUGAUAUUCAGAAGUUAUAAAAGGGUAGGAAUGGUGUACUCCACAUAACAAAAAUAUAUGCUAAAAUAAUGGUAGCUACAAAAUGAGAUUUGACGAAUGACAAUGAAAUAUAAAUGUUAAUUUGACGCUUACUGUAGCAGAAACUGACCGAUCGAUGCUUGACCAUUAAGAGCAUGCCUUCCUUUAUAUAACUAUAACAUACUUUGUACUGUUAAUUACAUUUUUUUUAAACUGUACACAUAAAGAUAAUCGUAUGCAUUUUAAAUCAUUAAAAAAGUGUAAUUUUUUGUUGAAAUGGAUUAAAUGAAAUGAAAUAGAAACAAAAUAAGGGACUGAAGUAAAAAAGUAGAAACUUUUACUAUGUCAUUUAGAUUUCAUAAAAUCAUGAUUUUGGUUGUAAAUAAACAGUGGCCUUUAUGUUUUAUUGAUUGGAACCUGUGUCAUUAACUGUUCUAUUUAAAAUACAUAACAUUUUAAUAUAAAUACUUUAUCAUAAAUGUUGUAAUGAUGGUGACUUCUUUUUCAGUAUUUAGAAGUAAAUUGUCAAGAAUCUUUAAUGCAUGUAUUGGUACUAGAAAAUGCAAAGAAGAAUGUGCUCAUGAAUAUAAAUAUGUAAGUAAAGAUUAGAUAAGUCUAAAGUUGAGUAAUGUGGGUUAAAUUCUUUAAAAAAGGUACACAUUUUUGUGAGUUGAAAAAAUGCAUUUUUUUGUUGGUCUUUGAUUUUGUGGUUUUAUUCUGCAUAAAAUCCUAUAGAAAAAUUGUACUUUGUUGAAUUUAGUGGUUAAACUUUACCAAAUAAAUCAUAAAUAAACAGUGCCUCACAAAUAAUAAUGAAUCAAAAAGUAUUUUAUAGGCUGUUAUAGCUGUUCAAUGCAUCUUAAUGCUGUUCACUCCAAAUGGAAGUUAACAGUCUUAUAUCAGCUGAUAAUAAAAUGACAUUUGGUUCAUUUUAGAUGUGUAAUCUUAAAGCUUUUUAAUAUUAAGUCAUUAUACGACCGCAAAUUUUGAAAAAAUUUUCGUCGUAUAUUGCUAUCACGUUGGCGUCGGCGUCGUCGUCGUCGUCGUCGUCGUCGUCCGGCGUCCGAAUACUUUUAGUUUUCGCACUCUAACUUUAGUAAAAGUAAAUAGAAAUCUAUGAAAUUUUAACACAAGGUUUAUGACCAUAAAAGGAAGGUUGGUAUUGAUUUUGGGAGUUUUGGUCCCAACAUUUUAGGAAUUAGGGGCCAAAAAGGGCCCAAAUAAGCAUUUUCUUGGUUUUCGCACCAUUACUUUAGUUUAAGUUAAUAGAAAUCUAUGAAAUUUUGACACAAGGUUUAUGACCACAAAAGAAAGAUUGGGAUUGAUUUUGGGAGUUUUGGUUUCAAUAGUUAAGGAAUAAGGGCCAAUAAAGGGCCCAAAUAAGCAUUUUUUCUUGGUUUUUGCACAAUAACUUUAGUUUAAGUAAAUAGAAAUCUAUGAAAUUUAAACACAAUGUUUAUGACCACAAAAGGAAGGUUGGUAUUGAUUUUGGGAGUUUAGGACCCAACAGUUUAGGAAUUAGGGGCCAAAAAGGGACCCAAAUAAGCAUUUUUCUUGGUUUUCGCACCAUAACGUUAGUAUAAAGUAAAUACAAAUCUAUGAAAUUUAAACACAAGGCUUAUGACCAUAAAAGGAAGGUUGGUAUUGAUUUUGGGAGUUUUGGUCCCAACAGUUUAGGAAAAAGGGCCCAAAGGGUCCAAAAUUAAACUUUGUUUGAUUUCAUCAAAAUUGAAUAAUUGGGGUUCUUUGAUAUGCCGAAUCUAACUGUAUAUGUAGAUUCUCAACUUUUGGUCCCGUUUUCAAAUUGGGUCUACAUUAAGGUCCAAAGGGUCCAAAAUUAAACUUAGUUUGAUUUUGACAAAAAAUGAAUCAGUUGGGUUCUUGAUAUGUUGAAUGUAAAAAUGUACUUAGAUUCUUGAUUAUUGAAGUUUUUUGGUCCAGUUUUCAAAUUGGUCUACAUUAAGGUCCAAAGGGUCCAAAAUUAAACUUUGUUUGAUUUCAUCAAAAAUUGAAUCCUUGGGUCUUUGAUAUGCCAAAUCUAACUGUGUAUGUAGAUUCUUCAUUUUGGUCUGUUUUUCAAAUUUCAAAUUCUACAUUAAAGUCCAAAGGGUCCAAAAUUAAAACUAAGUUUGAUUUUAACAAAAAUUUGAAUUCUUGGCUCUUUUGAUAUGCUGAAUCUAAACAUUUACUUAGAUUUUUGAUUAUGGGCCCAGUUUUCAAGUUGGUCCAAAUCAGGAUCUUAAAUUAUUUAUUAAGUAUUGUGCAAUAGCAAGUCUUUUCAAUUGCCAGUAUUGUGCAAUGGCAAGAAAUAUCUAAUUGCACAAUAUUGUGAAAUAGCAAAUUUUUUUUUAAUUAGAGUUAUCUUUCUUUGUCCAGAAUAGUAAGCAAGAAAUAUCCUAUUGCACAAUAUUGUGCAAUAGCAAGAAUUUUUUUUAAUUGGAGUUAUUCUUUCUUUGUCCAGAAUCAACUUAAAUCUUUGUUAUAUACAAUAUACAAUGUAUAUACACUUUUUACUACCAACUGAUAAAUUUAAAUAAUCCUUACCAUUCAGUGACAACAAGCAGUUUUUUUACAUCUUAAUAUUUUAUGAUGUAUUUAAAUGAGUAGUUAUUGUUGCAAACUCCAUUAGAAAUUUGACUUGAUAUCAGUUUUGAAAAAGAAAAACGGGGAUGUGAAAAAAAAGGGGGGGGGGGGGGUUAAAUUUUUCUCAUUUCAGAUUUCAUAAAUAAAAAGAAAAUUUCUUCAAACAUUUUUUUGAGAGGAUUAAUAUUCAACAGCAUAGUGAAUUGCUCAAAGGCAAAAAAAAAUUUUAAGUUCAUUAGACCACAUUCAUUCUGUGUCAGAAACCUAUGCUGUGUCAACUAUUUAAUUUUAGAUUUAAAAAGUUUGAAGAAGAAAUCUUUAAUUGAUUUGUAAAAUCUUGGCAUUUGUUUUGUGUAAAAAAAAACCAUGUAAUGUCAAAAAUUUGAUCACAAUCCAAAUUCAGAGCUGUAUCAUGCUUGAAUGUUUUGUCCAUACUUGCCCCAACUGUUCAGGGUUCGACCUCUGCGGUCGUAUAAAGCUGCGCCCUGCGGAGCACCUGGUUUUUAAGCAUUUGAAAGAAUUUGGACUUCUGAACCUUAUUUGCUCAUAGUUAAGCUUAAAUUAUAAGUACUGUUAAUUUAGAAUGAUAGUUUUAAUUAUAAUAUUUAUUGAUUGUUUAACCUGUUCCUGUUUUUACACAAAAAACAUUACUUUAUAAAGAAAUGGUUAAUCAGUAGAGAUAUUAUAAAUAAAUCAGUGAUUUUCACAAAUUUAACAUGUUGUGCAAAAAGCAAUCUGUGAUAUUAUUGUCUUUCUGUUGAAGGCAAUAAUGAGAUGAAUAUUUCCUGUACCUGGAAAUAUAUAUUUUUUUUUAAAUGACAAAAUUUACAAACCUUUUUAAAGCAAACUAGCCCUGUUUAUGUUAAGGUAAUCAUUCAUAUUUAUUUUUGGCAUAUAAUUGGAAUGAUGGGCGCACUACGUUUGCACGCAUUUGGGGAUUAAAAUGUUUUUCGUUUGCGCGCAGCUUUUGAUUACAUUUGCGCGCAUUCAUUUUACAGGUAAUCUCAGGUAAAAAUAUAAAUAAAAAUUAAAUUAAAUUAUAAAUGACUAUAUUUUUCUUGUAUUUUCAUAACGGAUAUGACUAUUAAUUAUUAAUUUAAGAAUUAGUUUGUCAUUCAAAUUAUAUAUUAGAUAUAGGAACAUGUGGUGUGAGUGCCAAUAAGACAACUCUCCAUCAAAAUAACAAUUUUAAAUAGUAAACCAAUAUAGGUCAAUGUACGGCCUUCAACACGGAGCCUUGGCUCACACCGAACAACAAGCUAUAAAGGGCCCCAAAAUUACUAGUGUAAAACCAUUCAAACGGGAAACCCAACGGUCUAAUAUUGAUAAUAUUGAAUUCUAAAACAAGUAAAAACUCUGUUUUAGCUAAAGGUCUAGUUACAAUAAAUGGGCUAUGUCACAGAUUUUCUUAAAAUUUUGCAAACACCUUUGUCUGUUGAACUGUAUCUGAAAAUUAAAAAAAAUAUGGCGCUUUAUCUCUUUUUUCCCUCAUAAAUAAGUAUUAUUACCUGUAUUUUACCUGAGUUUACCUGUUAAAAAAAUGAGCGCAAAUGUAAUCAAAAGCUGCGCGCAAACGUAAUGAUUUUUGCGCGCAAAUGUAAUGGUUAUGCGCGCAAACGUAAUGAUUCUUGCGCGCAAAUGUAAUGGUUAUGUGCGCAAACGUAAUGCACUGGAAAUGAUGAUGGAUUAUGGUAUGGACAUAUAUUGUUAUAUAUAUAUAAUACGUUAUUAAUUUUCAGACUCAUCCAUGUGUGAUAUUAACAAAUCUGAUAUUUGGUGCUCUUUCAAUGUUUCAUCUUGCCUACUUGGGCCUCAUGUUUGAUAACAGUGCUAAUAGUGAAGAGGUAAGCUUUUAACAAAGAUAUAUAUCUGGCAUAUACAAUUUAAUCCUGCUAACUGUGAUGAGUUUAUUCAUACCUAGGCUUGUACAUUGCAUAUUUAUUAUAUUUUGAAUACCACUGUUAUAAACUUAAGAGUUUCACAAGGAAAAGGUAAAAAAAUUAAGCAUAUAAAAAAAAUAUGAAGAUUUUUAAGAAUUUUAACUAAGUUGUCACUAAAUUUUUUUUAAGGAGGUGAGAAAACCCUAAUAAGCUAUCAAGGUCAAGAUCACUGAACUGGUACACAUUUUUAUUUAGGAGCCAGCUGAGAGGCUGCAAAUAAAAAAAAAAGAUUUCAUGGUGUGAAGUAAAAUAAAAAUAUUAGCCCAAGACCAAAUAAAACAUUUUUUCCCUAUGCAUUUAGUUUGUUUUCUUUAGAGUAAUGAAGUGAUAUUGCUUCAAAAAUUAUUUAAGAUGGAAUUCGUAAAAUUUUUCAGGGUUAUGACAUGUACCAUACCUUAGAAAAGUGGUCGUCAUUGAGUUAUGCAAGUCACUGGAUUGUACUGGGAACAUACAUUUUUGCUGUAUUGAUAUGA